GACGAACCGUCCAAACGUUAUUCGGAAUUAUUGGGCUUAAAGGGUGCGUAGGCUGUGCAGUAAGUUGGGUGUGAAAUCCCUCGGCUCAACCGAGGAACUGCGCCGAAUACUGCUGUGCUAGAGGGAGAUAGGGGUAAGCGGAACUGAUGGUGGAGCGGUGAAAUGCGUUGAUAUCAUCAGGAACACCGGCGGCGAAGGCGGCUUACUGGAUCUCUUCUGACGCUGAUGCACGAAAGCUAGGGGAGCGAACGGG
rnacentral:rRNA from 1 species